GACGAACCGUGCAAACGUUAUUCGGAAUCACUGGGCUUAAAGGGCGCGUAGGCGGGCUGGCCAGUCUGUGGUGAAAUCCCCCGGCUUAACCGGGGAACUGCCGUGGAUACUGCCAGUCUCGAGGAGGGUAGGGGCAUCUGGAACAGCCGGUGGAGCGGUGAAAUGCGUAGAUAUCUGGAGGAACACCGGUGGCGAAGGCGGCAUCCUGGACCAAUUCUGACACUGAGGAGCGAAAGCCAGGGGAGCAAACGGG
rnacentral:rRNA from 1 species